rnacentral:sRNA from 2 species
CUCUGCUGCUGGGAUUAUGGCUGUCGUCUGUCGUUGUUAAAAAAAGAAAAGAAAACUCAAGAGGGAAAGCAAAAAGCAGGGGCUUUUGCUUCCAUUUUUGUCAUGGUUUUGGUUUGUUAAAACAUCCUUUCCCACCCUUGACUACUAGGAAUAUUGCUUAUCCUGCGCUUACACUCCUUGCACGUAUUAUAGCUGGUAUAAAAUGGGACACCGUUGGCUACGUAUGGAAAUUGAGCUGCUCCAGAACCUGUCCCGCAAUCCACAGUUGACAUGCUACUCUUCAUAACGAAUAAGUUCAAGUUGAUAUAAAAGGAGAACCGGACACCAAUUUCCUGGGUGGCUCCCAGCUUGCAUUUUCCUUGCUUGGUCGGACCUGGGCUUACGAGUAGCUUAUGUCGUAUAUUUCAGUUUGCCUGCAAGGACAAGGUGACCAUAGUUAUCAUCAGCCGUUAGACUCUACAGCUACAGGACUUCCCGAGGCCACCAAUGAUUGAGAACACAGC